ACAGGCUUAACACAUGCAAGUCGAGGGGAAACGACAUCGAAAGCUUGCUUUUGAUGGGCGUCGACCGGCGCACGGGUGAGUAACGCGUAUCCAACCUGCCCAUCACUUGGGGAUAACCUUGCGAAAGUAAGACUAAUACCCAAUGACGUCUCUAGAAGACAUCUGAAAGGGAUUAAAGAUUUAUCGGUGAUGGAUGGGGAUGCGUCUGAUUAGCUUGUUGGCGGGGUAACGGCCCACCAAGGCGACGAUCAGUAGGGGUUCUGAGAGGAAGGUCCCCCACAUUGGAACUGAGACACGGUCCAAACUCCUACGGGAGGCAGCAGUGAGGAAUAUUGGUCAAUGGGCGAGAGCCUGAACCAGCCAAGUAGCGUGCAGGAUGACGGCCCUAUGGGUUGUAAACUGCUUUUAUAAGGGAAUAAAGUGAGUCUCGUGAGACUUUUUGCAUGUACCUUAUGAAUAAGGACCGGCUAAUUCCGUGCCAGCAGCCGCGGUAAUACGGAAGGUCCGGGCGUUAUCCGGAUUUAUUGGGUUUAAAGGGAGCGUAGGCCGGAGAUUAAGCGUGUUGUGAAAUGUAGACGCUCAACGUCUGCACUGCAGCGCGAACUGGUUUCCUUGAGUACGCACAAAGUGGGCGGAAUUCGUGGUGUAGCGGUGAAAUGCUUAGAUAUCACGAAGAACUCCGAUUGCGAAGGCAGCUCACUGGAGCGCAACUGACGCUGAAGCUCGAAAGUGCGGGUAUCGAACAGGAUUAGAUACCCUGGUAGUCCGCACGGUAAACGAUGGAUGCCCGCUGUUGGUCUGAAUAGGUCAGCGGCCAAGCGAAAGCAUUAAGCAUCCCACCUGGGGAGUACGCCGGCAACGGUGAAACCCAAAGGAAUUGACGGGGGCCCGCACAAGCGGAGGAACAUGUGGUUUAAUUCGAUGAUACGCGAGGAACCUUACCCGGGCUUGAAUUGCAGAGGAAGGAUUUGGAGACAAUGACGCCCUUCGGGGCCUCUGUGAAGGUGCUGCAUGGUUGUCGUCAGCUCGUGCCGUGAGGUGUCGGCUUAAGUGCCAUAACGAGCGCAACCCCUCUCCUUAGUUGCCAUCAGGUCAAGCUGGGCACUCUGGGGACACUGCCACCGUAAGGUGUGAGGAAGGUGGGGAU
rnacentral:rRNA from 1 species